rnacentral:rRNA from 1 species
UACGUAGGUGACAAGCGUUGUCCGGAUUUACUGGGCGUAAAGAGCGCGCAGGCGGUCGUUCAAGUCGAGUGUGAAAGCCCCCGGCUCAACUGGGGAGGGUCACUCGAUACUGAUCGACUCGAAGGCAGGAGAGGGUAGUGGAAUUCCCGGUGUAGUGGUGAAAUGCGUAGAUAUCGGGAGGAACACCAGUGGCGAAGGCGGUUCUCUGGGCCUGUACUGACGCUGAGGAGCGAAAGCGUGGGGAGCGAACAGG